GAGUUUGAUCAUGGCUCAGAGUGAACGCUGGCGGUAGGCCUAACACAUGCAAGUCGAACGGCAGCACAGUAAGAGCUUGCUCUUAUGGGUGGCGAGUGGCGGACGGGUGAGGAAUACAUCGGAAUCUACUUUUUCGUGGGGGAUAACGUAGGGAAACUUACGCUAAUACCGCAUACGACCUACGGGUGAAAGCAGGGGAUCUUCGGACCUUGCGCGAUUGAAUGAGCCGAUGUCGGAUUAGCUAGUUGGCGGGUAAAGGCCCGACCAAGGCGACGAUCCGUAGCUGGUCUGAGAGGAUGAUCAGCCACACUGGAACUGAGACACGGUCCAGACUCCUACGGGAGGCAGCAGUGGGGAAUAUUGGACAAUGGGCGCAAGCCUGAUCCAGCCAUACCGCGUGGGUGAAGAAGGCC
rnacentral:rRNA from 1 species